AACGAACGCUGGCGGCAUGCCUAACACAUGCAAGUCGAACGAAGUCUUCGGACUUAGUGGCGCACGGGUGAGUAACGCGUGGGAACCUGCCCUUCGGUACGGAAUAACGUCGGGAAACUGACGCUAAUACCGUAUAUGUCUCUGGAUGAAAGAGUUAUCGCCGGAGGAGGGGCCCGCGUCUGAUUAGCUAGUUGGUGAGGUAAUGGCUCACCAAGGCGACGAUCAGUAGCUGGUCUGAGAGGAUGAUCAGCCACACUGGGACUGAGACACGGCCCAGACUCCUACGGGGGGCAGCAGUGGGGAAUAUUGGACAAUGGGGGCAACCCUGAUCCAGCAAUGCCGCGUGAGUGAUGAAGGCCUUCGGGUUGUAAAGCUCUUUUGGCAGGGACGAUGAUGACGGUACCUGCAGAAUAAGCCCCGGCUAACUUCGUGCCAGCCGCCGCGGUAAGAC
rnacentral:rRNA from 1 species